UGUAUUUAUUAGAUAAAAAACCAAUGCCCUUCGGGGCUCCUUGGUGAAUCAUAAUAACUUAACGAAUCGCAUGGCCUUGCGCCGGCGAUGGUUCAUUCAAAUUUCUGCCCUAUCAACUUUCGAUGGUAGGAUAGUGGCCUACCAUGGUGGCAACGGGUAACGGGGAAUUAGGGUUCGAUUCCGGAGAGGGAGCCUGAGAAACGGCUACCACAUCCAAGGAAGGCAGCAGGCGCGCAAAUUACCCAAUCCCGACACGGGGAGGUAGUGACAAUAAAUACUGAUACGGGGCUCUUUUGGGUCUCGUAAUUGGAAUGAGUACAAUCUAAAUCCCUUAACGAGGAACAAUUGGAGGGCAAGUCUGGUGCCAGCAGCCGCGGUAAUUCCAGCUCCAAUAGCGUAUAUUAAAGUUGUUGCAGUUAAAAAGCUCGUAGUUGAACCUUGGGUCUGGCUGGCCGGUCCGCCUCACCGCGAGUACUGGUCCGGCUGGACCUUUCCUUCUGGGGAAUCUCAUGGCCUUCACUGGCUGUGGGGGGAACCAGGACUUUUACUGUGAAAAAAUUAGAGUGUUCAAAGCAGGCCUUUGCUCGAAUACAUUAGCAUGGAAUAAUAGAAUAGGACGUGCGGUUCUAUUUUGUUGGUUUCUAGGACCGCCGUA
rnacentral:rRNA from 1 species